rnacentral:tRNA from 1 species
GCUCAGGGGUAGAGCACAACCUUGCCAAGGUUGGGGUCGCGAGUUCGAAUCUCGUUUCCCGCUCCA